rnacentral:rRNA from 1 species
CCUGGUAAUUAUUGCGAAAGUGUCAUACCCGAUCCCAUUCCGAACUCGGCAGUCAAGCCUUUCAGCGCCAAUGGUACUUUGUCUUAAGAUAUGGGAGAGUAGGUCAUUGCCAGGC